rnacentral:lncRNA from 1 species
CCCCUUUCUUUCUUUUUUUUUAUUUUUAUAUAUAUAUAUUUUUUUUUCUUUUCUUUUUCUUUUUUUUUCGGGGGCCAAGACUUUUCAUAAACUGAGCUAGAAGUUUCUCUACUUAUCCCAUAAAGACUAGUCAAUUAAGCACAAUAGUUCACUCUUUUCCUUCCACUUUCUCAUACUCCCAAAUCAAACUUUACAACACUCACCCCCAUCUAUGGCUAGACAAUGAUGUGCCUAAUCUAGCAAGAAUGAAGAUCAAGCAUUGUCGUUCCCGAUACUCUCAAAAUUAUGCACAUGUAAGACUUUCCUAAGAAGGUCUCACUCAUCAAACAAUGAAAGCUUAAAAGGAGGGAAAGGUUUUUGGGAGUGGUCUACCGCUAGAGUUUGUCAAAAAAAGAUUGGCAUAAAAGAUGUGACAACUCAAGUGUGUAUAGCCAUGACUCAGUACACAAGGGACCCUAAGCAAGAAGCAUUAAGUUCGUUUAGUUCAAAUAGGGUUGUAGUUGGCUUCAAAGACUAGGUUUCAGCAAUCAACAAGUUUCAAGAAGAGUUUUCAAGGCACGAAACAUACAAGUCUUUUCGAGAGGUGCAUAGCUUUUCAGGUGAAACAUAGUGUUCUUUAUAAGGCAUUUAAAAUCAUUGCUCCCAAUGCAAGUGAAUGCAACCUAUAUGCUCUAGACUCUCCUAGAAAUGCAAAAUGAUGCAAACUAAAUGAAUUUGUUUUUUUUUUCUUUUAUGCAAAUAGG